rnacentral:rRNA from 1 species
UACGGAGGAGGCAAGCGUUAUCCGGAAUUAUUGGGCGUAAAGCGUCCGUAGGUGGCUAGUCAAGUCUGACGGUCAAAGACUGGGGCUUAGCCCUGGAAAGGCCGUGGAAACUGACGAGCUAGAGUGCAGUAGGGGGUAGAGGGAAUUCCCGGUGUAGCGGUGAAAUGCGGUAGAUAUCGAGAGGAACACCUGCGGCGAAGGCGGGUUGCUGGGCUGACACUGACGCUGAAGCGCGAAAGCGUAGGGGAGCGAACGGG